rnacentral:tRNA from 1 species
UACCCGGUAGUGUAAUUGGUAACACAAGAGGUUUUGGUUCUCUUUUUGGAGGUUCGAGUCCCCCCCGGGUAG